ensembl:lncRNA
ACCCAAGCUGUUAAUCGAUGAACCGAUUACCCAGGGCCGUCCGGAGCUCUCGGGAAUCUCCCAUUCAAAGAGAGAGCCUCGACUCCAUGACCUGGGCUACCAUGUCCUAAGCUGGAAGGAUGCUAGGAUGCUGAGAACAAAGGACACAGGUCUUGCCCUCAAGUGGCCCGCAGCCCAGUGAGAGGGAGCCCAAGUGGCUGGUGUCAAGGGCUGCUCUGAGGUGAGCCAGAAGGAGAGCAAGGCUGGGCGGUGCCUCCAGGCUCUUCCAGCACUGCCCCCUGCUGGCUGUCCAUACACCUGUGGCUCUCACUGCCAGACCUGGGAGGUGCCCGGUGGAUACUGACUGGUAGAUGGACUGACGACUUGGCGUUUUCUUGCUGAGCUUCCUUUCCCGGAAGCAACAAACCCCGACAGGGAGCACUAGCCUCUGCUCACCCAGGACUCUGGAAAUGUACUCCCACCUCGGAUCGCUGGCAUCUUGUACCGCUGCCUGCCCACCUGACCAGAUCCCCUCUGAACUCUGCCACCGUGAAGACCUGCUUUCUCUGACACCAGCCAUCUGGUCAGCAGCUGGGAAGUCAAGCCCAAGGUGUCCUGGGACCACCCCCCCCAAAAAAAAAAUGAGCAUCUCCUAUCCUCUGCAGGACUGCCAGGGGAAGAGAAAUGAGAUGAGUCUGUGGCACAGAGAAUAGGAACAGGCCCACUGCGGACAAAAUAAAGGACUGUUGUGCUAAGUGGCUUCAGUUGUGUCUGACUCUUUGUAACCCUAUGGACUGUAGCCCGCCAGGCUCCUCUGUCCAUGGGAUUUCCCAGGCAAGAAUACUGGAGUAGGUUGACCAUGCCCUCCUCCAGGGGAUCUUCCCAACCCAGGGAUUGAACACACGUCUCUUAUGUCUCCUGCAUUGGCAGGCGGGUUCUUUACCACUAG